GCUGCAGAUCAGAGUGUGUGACUUGGCUCCACAGCCUUUAUGCUCACUACAAGAUGCUUUUCUUUUCAUCAAUCUUAUCCGUAAUCACGCACCUUAUUUCCUGAAUACACCUUAUGUUAGAACCCUACAGACUCUUUCAGUUGGGGAUAGUGUGCUCAACGCUACAGCAAAGGAUGAUGAUGACAUAAGCUCAAGAUUUGGACAGAUCAGUUUUGAUCUUAUUGGAGAUGAUGGUGCUGAGAGCAGGUUCUCUAUUGGUAAAACAACUGGCAUAAUCACAGCAACCAAUGGUACUGGAGGAAGUCAGGCUGGUGUAUUUAGAAUUCGUAUCAGAGUGUGUGAUGGAGGUAAUCUGUGCAGCACAGUUGUUGGUAUAAUCAGUAUCAGCAGUAACAUUUACCCUCCUCUCUUGGAUAAGACUAGUUACAUUCACCAGAUCCCAGAAACAAUACCUUAUGGAGAAACUAUCUUCACUGUAACUGCCAUUGUAAGUUUUUUCUCAAUAAUUUUCUGACUAUAAGUUUCUCGUUGCUGCUAUAUUUUAUGCCACAUUGUG
rnacentral:sRNA from 1 species